AACACAUGCAAGUCGAACGGAAAGGCCCUGCUUUUGUGGGGUGCUCGAGUGGCGAACGGGUGAGUAACACGUGAGUAACCUGCCCUUGACUUUGGGAUAACUUCAGGAAACUGGGGCUAAUACCGGAUAGGAGCUCCUGCUGCAUGGUGGGGGUUGGAAAGUUUCGGCGGUUGGGGAUGGACUCGCGGCUUAUCAGCUUGUUGGUGGGGUAGUGGCUUACCAAGGCUUUGACGGGUAGCCGGCCUGAGAGGGUGACCGGCCACAUUGGGACUGAGAUACGGCCCAGACUCCUACGGGAGGCAGCAGUGGGGAAUAUUGCACAAUGGGCGGAAGCCUGAUGCAGCAACGCCGCGUGCGGGAUGACGGCCUUCGGGUUGUAAACCGCUUUCGCCUGUGACGAAGCGUGAGUGACGGUAAUGGGUAAAGAAGCACCGGCUAACUACGUGCCAGCAGCCGCGGUGAUACGUAGGGUGCGAGCGUUGUCCGGAUUUAUUGGGCGUAAAGGGCUCGUAGGUGGUUGAUCGCGUCGGAAGUGUAAUCUUGGGGCUUAACCCUGAGCGUGCUUUCGAUACGGGUUGACUUGAGGAAGGUAGGGGAGAAUGGAAUUCCUGGUGGAGCGGUGGAAUGCGCAGAUAUCAGGAGGAACACCAGUGGCGAAGGCGGUUCUCUGGGCCUUUCCUGACGCUGAGGAGCGAAAGCGUGGGGAGCGAACAGGCUUAGAUACCCUGGUAGUCCACGCUGUAAACGGUGGGUACUAGGUGUGGGGUCCAUUCCACGGGUUCCGUGCCGUAGCUAACGCUUUAAGUACCCCGCCUGGGGAGUACGGCCGCAAGGCUAAAACUCAAAGGAAUUGACGGGGCCCCGCACAAGCGGCGGAGCAUGCGGAUUAAUUCGAUGCAACGCGUAGAACCUUACCUGGGUUUGACAUGGAUCGGGAGUGCUCAGAGAUGGGUGUGCCUCUUUUGGGGUCGGUUCACAGGUGGUGCAUGGCUGUCGUCAGCUCGUGUCGUGAGAUGUUGGGUUAAGUCCCGCAACGAGCGCAACCCUUGUUCACUGUUGCCAGCACGUUAUGGUGGGGACUCAGUGGAGACCGCCGGGGUCAACUCGGAGGAAGGUGGGGAUGACGUCAAGUCAUCAUGCCCCUUAUGUCCAGGGCUUCACGCAUGCUACAAUGGCUGGUACAGAGAGUGGCGAGCCUGUGAGGGUGAGCGAAUCUCGGAAAGCCGGUCUCAGUUCGGAUUGGGGUCUGCAACUCGACCUCAUGAAGUCGGAGUCGCUAGUAAUCGCAGAUCAGCAACGCUGCGGUGAAUACGUUCCCGGGGCUUGUACACACCGCCCGUCAAGUCAUGAAAGUUGGUAACACCCGAAGCCGGUGGCCUAACCGUUGUGGGGGAGCCGUCGAAGGUGGGACUGGUGAUUAGGACUAAGUC
rnacentral:rRNA from 1 species